rnacentral:rRNA from 1 species
UACGUAGGGGGCAAGCGUUGUCCGGAAUCAUUGGGCGUAAAGAGCGUGUAGGCGGCUUGGUAAGUCCGCUGUGAAAGUCCAGGGCUCAACCCUGGAAAGCCGGUGGAAACUGUCAAGCUUGAGUCCGGAAGAGGCGAGUGGAAUUCCUGGUGUAGCGGUGAAAUGCGCAGAUAUCAGGAGGAACACCAAUGGCGAAGGCAGCUCGCUGGGACGGUAACUGACGCUGGAGACGCGAAAGCGUGGGGAUCAAACAGG